AUUGAACGCUGGCGGCAGGCUUAACACAUGCAAGUCGAGCGGGGAAAGGUAGCUUGCUACCUGACCUAGCGGCGGACGGGUGAGUAAUGCUUAGGAAUCUGCCUAUUAGUGGGGGACAACAUUCCGAAAGGAAUGCUAAUACCGCAUACGCCCUACGGGGGAAAGCAGGGGAUCUUCGGACCUUGCGCUAAUAGAUGAGCCUAAGUCAGGUUAGCUAGUUGGUGGGGUAAAGGCCUACCAAGGCGACGAUCUGUAGCGGGUCUGAGAGGAUGAUCCGCCACACUGGGACUGAGACUCGGCCCAGUCUCCUACGGGAGGCAGCAGUGGGGAAUAUUGGACAAUGGGCGAAAGCCUGAUCCAGCCAUGCCGCGUGUGUGAAGAAGGCCUUUUGGUUGUAAAGCGCUUUAAGCGAGGAGGAGGCUACCGAGAUUAAUACUCUUGGAUAGUGGACGUUACUCGCAGAAUAAGCACCGGCUAACUCUGUGCCAGCCGCCGCGGUAA
rnacentral:rRNA from 1 species